UUGAAUCUGAUUUUGCCUCUCUAAGUUGAAGUUUAUGCUUCAUACCUGAGAGUAAAUCGGAUCAAGAGCUUGCGGGGACCUUCUGUAAGUAUUCUUUCAUUCUUUUCAUUCGUAACUAUCGUUAAAGUCAAACUGUGUUUGACUUUCUGCUUUGACCAGUUUAUGGUCAACGCAAAGUUCGUUUGAACUUCAUAACGUGAGUGUAAUCACGAUGGUUAUAGUCCCUAGUAACUAUACCUACUGAUUACCACGUUAUCUAGGCUCAGUGACAAGUCGUAGCUUCGGCCAGAAUGCGUUUUCUCACGUAUUUUGUAACCAAGCUACUUUUAGGUAUCAAAACCGUUUGUUUUGAUACCAAACCUGUUUUCUAACUUAACUAAACAUGUUUCGACAUGUUUAGCUCGUCACUUUUUAGUUUAGUGCUUGUGUAAAGUCGUAAAGUCAAGCGGACUAAACACCCGCUUAGACUUCCGAACACGACCCGUUUGGUCAAUCAUUAGGAUCCGACCAAACAUGUUUUGUGACCAUAAUAGCAUAGGGAAUAACCUUCCAAGGUUAUACCUUAUGGUCUCCUAGUUUAAAUAGUUGUAUGAUAAGUAGUUUAUAUGCCUUAAGUAAAUUACCAAAAUACCCUUUUCAUGCGUAAUUGGUAAUUAAACAUAUGUAACCUAAACAUUUGUCACAUAACUGAUUUUGUAACAUAUUUAAAACAUGUUUUGGCAUAUAAUACUUGUCAUAGGACUAGUUAGACGUCUCGAACACGCAUUUGCGCGCACGACGCGUUAAAGUAGCGUAAGCUACCUUAAUGGGUCGCGAUGGGUCGAAAGAACUUAGGUUAGGUUUCAACUUAGGAUGUAGGCUUUGUUAAACCAUAUCACACGAGUCCAACACUCAUUUGGUUUACAAGACCUCAUCCUAUCCGAUCGUCCGAUUUAGGCGUCUAUUGUUUGACUAGUGGUUCGAUUACUAGGUGCUACUUGAUUCCUUUGGUUUGCUUGAGGUUGUUUGAAGUUCUAUUGAUUGAGGAUACUUUGCACUUCAUGUGAGUACUUAGUUCCCCUAUUUUACCGUUUUCAAAUGUUUUGGGGUGAUUCAUAUGUAUGAAAUGUUUUCAAGGUUUAAACGAUGAUUUCAAAAACGAUUAAAACGAUUUUUACUAAACAAAUAACGAUUUCAAUAAUGUGAACAAAACUUGAUGGUUGUAGUUACAUAACAAAUGACAUUCAUUAGCAUUAAUCAAGCUGACCAGUAUUAGGUUAUGGUACCAUAGGAUCUGACAAAUCCCGUUACUUUACUACACCCAUGGUUAUGUCGAGAAGCGAGGUGAUCGAGUCACGAAGGUUUGAAUGUUGUUAGCGAGACGACCAUAUAUAGUUUUUCACAAAUUAAAACGAGGAUGAUUUAAACGAUUUUAAACGAGUUAACGAUUUUGAAACGAUUUUAACGAGUUAAACGAUUUGGGUAAACGAUUGGUUUUUGGUUAGUGUUUAGAUAAUGAGACGGGUGUAAUAUGUUGAAAGCAUGGUGGAUACGCCGCUGGUACUUCCUAUAUAUAAGUGUUUUCAACAUAUUACAUACCGUGGCGUAUUAGUUCACUUGGGUAAACGAGUUUUAAAACGAUGUCACACAAUAAUGUUUUAUUAACGAGUUUUUACUAGAUGUUUUACAAGAUGUUUUUCUAAAACAAAAUGUUUUUGGGUUAAGAAUCAUGGCUACGAGAUUUUAUAAACUGUAAUCAACUUGAUUUGAGUUGGUUAACUAUGUUGCAAUACACUUUUCAAAACGAGGUUUGUAUUUUGACUUUUGUAGU
rnacentral:lncRNA from 1 species